GCAGCAGCCGCGGUAAUACGGAAGGUCCAGGCGUUAUCCGGAUUUAUUGGGUUUAAAGGGAGCGUAGGCUGGAGAUUAAGUGUGUUGUGAAAUGUAGACGCUCAACGUCUGAAUUGCAGCGCAUACUGGUUUCCUUGAGUACGUACAACGUUGGCGGAAUUCGUCGUGUAGCGGUGAAAUGCUUAGAUAUGACGAAGAACUCCGAUUGCGAAGGCAGCUGACGGGAGCGCAACUGACGCUUAAGCUCGAAGGUGCGGGUAUCAAACAGGAUUAGAUACCCUGGUAGUCCGCACAGUAAACGAUGGAUGCCCGCUGUUGGUACCUGGUAUCAGCGGCUAAGCGAAAGCAUUAAGCAUCCCACCUGGGGAGUACGCCGGCAACGGUGAAACUCAAAGGAAUUGACGGGGGCCCGCACAAGCGGAGGAACAUGUGGUUUAAUUCGAUGAUACGCGAGGAACCUUACCCGGGCUUGAAUUGCAGAGGAAGGAUUUAGAGAUAAUGACGCCCUUCGGGGUCUCUGUGAAGGUGCUGCAUGGUUGUCGUCAGCUCGUGCCGUGAGGUGUCGGCUUAAGUGCCAUAACGAGCGCAACCCCUCUCUUCAGUUGCCAUCAGGUUA
rnacentral:rRNA from 1 species